CUUACAAGCUGUGGAAGCACAUUUCUUGUGUGACCGCGUACUUUUUGUAGAACGGGCCAACGAGUUACGUUAAGUAGCAAGGUUAAGCACUUAAGGUGCGGAGCCGUAGCGAAAGCGAGUUUUAACUGAGCGUUCAGUUAUUUGACGUAGACCCGAAACCGGGCGACCUACCCAUGAGCAGGAUGAAGCGAAAGUAAAAUUUCGUGGAGGUCCGAACCCACGAGCGUUGAAAAGCUCGG
rnacentral:rRNA from 1 species